AUUGAACGCUAGCGGGAUGCCUUACACAUGCAAGUCGAACGGAGUGGCGAACGGGUGAGUAAUGUAUCGGAACGUGCCCAGUAGCGGGGGAUAACUACGCGAAAGCGUCGCUAAUAACGCCUACCAUUGGAGAGGCCGAUAUCGGAUUAGCUAGUUGGUUGGGUAACGGCUCACCAAGGCGAAGAUCCGUAGCUGGUUUGAGAGGACGACCAGCCACACUGGGAAGGAGACACGGCCCAGACUCCUACGGGAGGCAGCAGUGGGGAAUAUGGGACAAGGGGGGAAACCCUGAUCCAGCCAUCCCGCGUGUGCGAUGAAGGCCUUCGGGUUGUAAAGAACUUUUGGCAGGAAAGCGGUACCUGCAGAAUAAGCACCGGCUAACUCCGUGCCAGCAGCCGCGGUAAUUC
rnacentral:rRNA from 1 species